AGGGGGAUGGUUGGACCAGAUGAUCUUGAAGGUCUUUUCCCUAAUAAUUCUAUGAUUCUAUGAUAAUGACAGUGAAAUACCAGCACACUUUGCUGAAAACAAAACAAAACAAAAAACUGUAAAAUGCCCAUAACUGGAGUUUAUUAGCAACAGGUUAGAAAAAACAUUUGUUGGGAAUUAUUUACACGUAGUUGAUUGUGCUCUUGGGGAAAAGUAACUAAUUUAAUUUAAUCAAUUCUUUCUAGACUUACUUCCUUUUGUUUCUACGUCUUUGCAGUCUUUUGAAAAAUAUAUUUAGUCUUUGUAUGAGAAUUCAAUGAGAAAUCUUUAGGUUUUGUAAGAAAGUCAAAGUUUACUAAAAAUCUAAUAGAAAUGUCACUCUGCUUUGCUUCUCCCCCCGAAACAAGUGGCCUUAAUGCUGAAUUAGAAAAAUACUAAAAUACUAUUAGUGAGUAAAAACAAAGUCUUUGAUGACUGGGUAGGAAUAGAAAAAAAAAAACUGAAAAAUGAAAUGCUGCUGCAAAUCACAAGUUUGUGUGGAACACUUAUUCAAGCAUUUCAACAAAGACGUUACCUGUUCUUUAGUAAGAAAUACACAUUUUCAGAUAAAUUCAAGGCUGUCCCAAAGCUUUUCCUUUUUCCUCCUCUUUUCAUUCUGGUCCCUGAAGGCGGUAAGUAACAUUAUUGAUACAGGUAUGUUGGGGGUGCCACCUGUGCAGCUCACAGUUCAGCAGUAAAGCUGAAUGCCCUUCGAAGUACUUCAGAAAGGAAAAAAAAAACAAAAAACUUACCUUAUAAAACCUAAUGGAUUGAAGAGCAACAAGAAGGAAUUCCCAUCUAAAUGCAAAUCAAGGCAAACCCAUUUUGAAUGCAAGAGUAAGGUACAAAUGGUAAUUUUCCCACCAUUUGUUACUGCUACUUACAAUUACAGUUCUAUACCAGUCAAGUAGUUAACAGCUCUUCUCUUGAUGAGCUGUCAAUGAACAAUUCGGAUUUUUUCCAAAUGUAUGUCAUAGAUAUGCUUAUUCUGUAGCAAUCUGUUUGUGCAAAGUUAAUUUAAAAAACUUUAUUUUUUUGGUUUAAUUUAGUCUGGCUUAUGAAGUGGAGAGAGACAGAAAAUAUCAGAAAAAAGGUUUCAUCUGCUGGUUAAUCUGUGAAUUAAACUCCUACUUGUUUUCUGCUAGAGUGUCAUAACUGAUACCAGUGGCUUGCAACAGCUGGGAAGGCUAGAAUCAGUGAGUCUGAGAUCAGGAUCCCAUCCUGAAUUCCUUCCAUAUUUAAAAAUAUUAACUGCAUGAUUAAAAGGAUGGCUGUAGGAUGACAGCCUGAGAGUCUGUUACAUGCCUGGAGAACAUGGUCGGUCCCAGUGCAGAGCUCUGGCCUGGUUCUAAUGCAAAGUCCUCCUUACCUCAAAAAACUUAUAGCGUGAAAAGAGCAGCUGUGCAGAAAUUGUAGUUUCUACCAUUUAUUCUAAGGAAUCUCUGUUCCAGCACCCAAGAAACUAGUAAGGAAGGGGAUGUCUGAUACAAAAUACUGGAUUCAAGUGUUUUCUUCCUGUACCUGGAAGGAAUGCAGUAAACUUUGCUCUAGUCUUAAAGAGGUUUUGAAAUACUAGAUGCUGUAAUCAUUUCGGUGCGUAGUAUGUGCAAUGAAGAUGGUGACAACUCAGAGAUUACAAUUUGUUUAGAACACAGUAACCAAAUCCCAAUAACAAUGCGUGGCAUUGAAAAUGAACUUAGUGUCAGCGUUGCAUGUUCUCUUACCAUGCUCGGUCCCUAAUCUGCAUGGCCCUUAAUGAGUUAGAGGCACAACUGGCCUGCAGCAGGUGUGAAAGUGAUGGAACAAGGUGUACCUACUCUGCGUAUGUUUCUAAUAUUGUGCAGUGAGAUUAAAGGUGGCUGUAGUGGUUUCUUUUUAAAACAGCUCAAACAGCCAUUGGAUAAGAACUCUGCCCGGAAAGGACUUUUUUCUUCAUCCCAAUGUCAUCAGAAUGUGAAUCCAAGAGUUGUCCUAAUCCGGAAUCUGCUGACAUGACACAGUAACUAUGUACUGCUUUUACGUUUCAGAAGUAGUAACUAGCCUCCCACUGAAUUAUAUUUGUAUCCUCACACACACCAAAAGCUAUAAUAUUAAUUACUUUACAGAGUUAAUUAUUAGUGAUCGGGAGUUACAGUUGGGGACCUUUAGUAGGUUAAAUGGAUAACAUACUUGGAACAGCAAUAACACGUAGCCUAAAAGUGGUUAUAGGAGUGCAUUCAGCACCAGGAAAGAUAUUGAAAUGAACGAUGUGCAUUUAUACUAAAUCUGCACUGCAAUUAUAGUACAGAGUGUUGAAAUCUCUUUACCCUGAAGAUAUAUGAACUGAAUGUGGAGAGUGAUUUCACAUUUCCAAUGGAGAGCCCUUCCUAAAUAUUUCUGUAUGGAAAUGAACUUGCAGUUUAAUCCCAGGGAGUUCUGUCACUGGCUUAAUUGAGAAAAAGUUUACAAAACUUCUUUUGAUCUAACAUCAGAAACAAAGAACCUGUCUUAGAUAGGAACAGUGGCCUGUAUCGCUCUCCUGCUUUGUCUGAGAAAAAAAGUUGGUAGCAGUGCCAGAAGAGUUAAGCACUUCUAAAAAAAUAAACCUCGAGGAAGUAAACAACCAAGGAAUAGUCUAGAUCCCCAGCUAAAUUCUUACAGAGAAGUCAAAACAGAAGUGGUGAAGAGACAGGAUUUGUUUACGUAACCUCUAAUCUCUAGCUGUAUGUCUGAUCCUACAUCGCUCUGCAACUCAGAUAAGAGUUUUGCAUCAAGAAUAUCAAAGAGGCAUUCUCUAAAGAAGCCUUUGUGGCCAAUAUUCAUUCCCCACAUUAUGCAUGUAGAAUAUAGGUGGAGACUGAAUCGGUAUUAUCAGCAUGGCAUGUUAUUAAUCAAGCCACGAUUUAAAUUCUGUCCUUUUGAACACAAAGUUCAAAAAAGUUACUUGUGAGGAACUGUCUAGAGGUUGUUUGUUAAGAAUAGUGAUGUGAUGAUAGUGCUAUCGCUGCAAACAUGAGGAGCUCACUCAGUAGUUUAACGUAUUCCUGUUUUUUUAAGUGUUCUUGUCUUAAAUGUUUAUAUCAUAUAUGCUUGAAAAGAUAUGCUUUAGCUUUUUUCACACGUGAUUGAGUGCUCCGGAGUCUCUUUGAAAUAGGACCUCUCUCUUAUCGCACUUUGAUGACGGGAGGGAAAGGAGAAAUGAUUGCUGGAGAAAGCUGUAGUAAUCAGUUCAUAAGCAUUACAGUCAAUAUUUCUGAUUGUGACAAACAUACUGUGGUUUUGUUUGUUUGUUUUUAAUAAUAAUAAUAAAUCAGAUUAAGCUAAAUCAUUGAUUAAAAAACAGGUAAGCAUUAACUAAUUUAAAGAGGAUGGACAAGAAUAAGUGUGAGCCCACAUUUACCUGGGGCUUCAUUCACAGGCAUUGAACACGGAAGGAUUAUUUGUGUUAGUUAAAGUUAAGCACUUACUUAAGUACUUUUGCUGGAUUGAGGCCACAGUACUGCAGAGUACUCUACGGAACAGAGGCCACUGAGAAUAACAAAUUUAAAAAAAAAUACCCAGAGCCAAAUCUGAUUUGAAUAAACAUUCACUAUACACCAUUUUGCUUUCUUCAUCUUAGUGUUGUAUUUCAAAGUCUCAACCAUGGAUAGUGACUUCAGUGUGCAAACACUUAUUACACCAGCUAUCGGUGGUGGUGUUUUUAAAAUCUAAAAUGAAACACCUUUUCCCUUACAAAGCCUGAAGGUAAUUGAUAUCACACUUCAGGUUUGAGUAAACUCUGCAAAAUUCCAGUAACCUAUUAGCAGCCUACUGUUAAAAUGGAAUUUUCAUGACCAUCAGCAGUUCAGACAGCCUGGAAGCAGAUACAUCGAGCCUAAACAUUAGCAGGACAACACAGGUGAGAGUUGGAAGGAUGCUUUACUGAAAAAUAGAGUCAGUCCAGCUCAGAGCUGAAUCACCCACGAUCUCGACAAAGCUUUAAGAAGUUUACAUACACCUAAACUGAACAAAUAAUUCACUCGGUGGCACACGCUGCACGAAGGAGCAGAUAACUGCUGCCUGAACAUGUAGCAAGUGAGCUACGCAGUGAGUAGCUGCCUUCUACAGAGCUUAUCAUGACUGAGGAUCUCCAUACUCAGUAGGACACCAGAAGUAUUAAAAAGCUAUCUCAAAGAGGCAGGCAAGCUUCUUUCAACACAGAGCCCAUGGUUGACUUGUAAUCUCCAAAUAAAUCAUUUUUGGACAUAAAUUAUUUUUCAGAUGGCACUAAAUCUGCAUAGCUUGAGGAACCUAACUAUCCUCUGAAUUACUUCCAGAUCUACUGCUGAUCACUGCAGGCAUAAUUGUGUGCUGCUUCUCCUUUAUUCUGCAUAAAACAAGUCUGCAAUGACGGCAUCGUGCAACAGCUAUCUUCCUUCUGUCAUGCAUGCUUUCCCUUCUGACAACCUCUUAACCAUAUUGUUCCAUCACUUCAGUUGUUCCAUCACUGCAGUAUUGUUCCAUCACUGCAAUUGAGACCAGCUCCUCCAAUGUACCGGUUCUGUGGUUUGACACCACCUGGAAGGGACUGAAGCGAGGACUUUGCUAAGAAAGAAGCAUAUCAGGUGCUUCAGCUAAAUGUUUUAUGACUCCGAACAAUAGCAUGAAGAGAUGUGGAAAUACUGAUAAGGCUUUUCCCUGUAUUCCGUGAACCAGAAUCGAAAAGAAUUCAAAUUAGUUCCAUGCUAAGGAGCUGGGAUAUACCUCCAGCAAGCCUGCCACCACGCUUACAUUACUGCAGUUUGUGCAGAGGUGGAUGCAAAAGUAUUCGUGGUCAGUGGAUGUGCACAGUGUGCAUAUGGUGAACACAGGGUUCGCAAGCACAUACAUGCAGACUGCUUAGACACAGUUGGUAGUUAGAUGUCUGCUGGGAGCUGAAAUUAUUCCUCGAAAUGCUCCCCAAGUUUUUUGUUGUUUUGUAUUUUAGCUUAUCCCAGUCUCUCAAAAUAGGGAAAUAAAGGAUUGCAUUCACUAGUCAGCGGUCUAUUUGAGGAGACCUCUGUAUUAACGUAGCAUGGUAUCUCCCAGUUAUCAGUGGUAUGAAAAUGGGCUGCUUAAAUUGUCCUUACAGGUAAAGUAGCAGUUGAGCUAUGAAUAGCCUUUCUGAAGCCAACAGAAUAAAACGGCACUCAUUACAGCACAGUCAGGCUUAAAUUCUACUUUGAGAAUUUAACAUAUGUCAAUGAUAUGUAUUGCAUACACAUAGAUUACAUUGUAUAUAAGGCCUAUGGAGAUGUCUCUUAGUUUCUGAAGUGCAUUUAAGUAGCUGACUGGAAAUUCAGUGUCUGUUUCACCUAAAUGAAAAAAAUGCAGUUGAACACUAAACUAAAUAAUGCAGUCAGGAGUUCGCGACGAAAGCGAUUGUUUCUGCCAAGAUGGUCGUAUUUCCAAGGUUUUUGAAACCAAGAGCAUCACCUUUUAAGAUGAGAAGUUCUGCAAGCCUUGGACCUUUUUAUCAGGGAUACUACCUCUGUGCUGUGCUGUCUGCCGCAGAGGGAGCCAGAGAAAGGGCUCACGGAGGAGGGAUGGCAGCGCAGAAGGGAAACUGCUGCUGGCCGGGCAAUCCCAAGAGCCCGUUUGAGUUAAGCUUAGGAGUUUCAACUGGGUUCUUCUCAGAGGAUGCCCAAGUAAGGCCUUGUGAGUGAGAGAGGAUGGGGCAUUCUUGAAGGAAGGGGAGCUGGUUUGGCUUUGACAUUUCAGUGGUUGUUAUAUUCAUUUUUAGUUUGUUUUGAUGAUAUUUUAAGCUCUUGGGAAAGGCACACCAAGUUCAGAACGGAUGCCUGGCUAUAGAUCUCCAGAAAAAACUGUAUUUAUUUAAGGUUGUUAAUUGACUUAGGUAGACAUUAUAUCGAUUCCCAUUUUUAAAGUAAUUUCAUGUUUAGUUGUGGUAAAAACGAGUGAAAAUGAGGAAGUCUGCAUUCCAGCGCACAACAUUAAAUCCGGGGCAUGUGUGUGUAUUUACUAAUCUGUAUACAAUCUGCAGGACAGAAUGUCCUAUGGUAAUUCUUCGAAAAUGAUCAGUUCUUGAGAAUGUCUCAGCUAUUUUAAAGUAAGCUCUAAAAUACAUAACUUGGAAAAGCAGCCUACUUUACAAUGAUCUUUUGUGUAAAUCUUGAUGAGCUCUGGAAAUGAUAGGUUUCUAUACAUGAUUAUAGUCUGUAGUGUUGAAGCCCGUUGCUAAAACCUUUCAAUGCAACAUGCUAUCUAUAGUCAAUUUAUCUUAAGCCACUCAUAUCUCCUGCUUUAUGAAUAUCUGACUUCUGUAGAACUUCUUCAUGUAUCUCUUUGACUUACGGCAGUGUUACAGCAUGUUUUUAAUACAUGGGAAACUGAGGCACUGGGACACCAAGUGACGUACUCGUCGUCACAUCCGUGAUCUCUGACAAGACAAAUAGCUGAAAAGAGUGGAAAUCUUGAAUUCAGAGAACUAGAACAGCAACAGCCAUGCUUGGGGCCAUGAGGAAAAGAAGGAAGACCGAGGAAAUCAUCCUUUUCUUCAAAAUGCAACUUCUGUAUCUGUAAAAUCUUGGAUGAUGGGAGAAACUACCUGGUGACCAGCUCAUAUUAUGUCCUUUUGUACCAGAGUGGUGCCCAGUGGCGUCUUGCUGUCUCCUUCUGAAGACAUAUUCCAGGAAAGAAAGCUGUGCACUCUCUCUAGAAGCAAUUCCUCACAGUGCUUCCUAAGGAAUCAGCUUUGGCAAUGUCCUGUCCCUGUGUGCAGCGUGUCUGUGGGGAUGUACUCUCGAGCGGUCAUUACCAGUAUGCUUAAGGGAAAGGGGCAGGAGGGGAAUGUGUUGUCUUUCACAAACUAUUUCUUCAUCAGUAGCUGUUUCCACCUGUGUGAGGAGCUGGGUGCCGAGGCAGUACACACCACGGAUGUUUCCAAGUAAAUAUCCCAACACCCCAGCUUAAAAGCCGAACACACAGCAGCAGGCAGAUAGCAAUCUUACAGCUGCUGCUCUCCUUGCUGCUCGGUGAUCAGCUAUUUCCCACUGUCACCAGGAGCUUUCUUCUUUUCCAAUACCUGUAUUAAUUCCCUCAUUUAGUCUCUUCUGAAUCCCUUAUGUUUUCCCCAACUCUUUUUCCGUCCUCUGUCUGCCCCUUAGCUUCCUUUCUCAUCUCCAGUACUUGUGCUGGUCAUUUGUAAGUGUUUUCACAGACAAUAAAACUUGUGCAAA